UACGUAGGGGGCAAGCGUUAUCCGGAAUUACUGGGUGUAAAGGGAGCGUAGACGGUAAUGUAAGUCUGGAGUGAAAGGCGGGGGCCCAACCCCCGGACUGCUCUGGAAACUAUGUUACUAGAGUGCAGGAGUGGUAAGCGGAAUUCCUAGUGUAGCGGUGAAAUGCGUAGAUAUUAGGAGGAACACCAGUGGCGAAGGCGGCUUACUGGACUGUAACUGACGUUGAGGCUCGAAAGCGUGGGGAGCAAACAGG
rnacentral:rRNA from 1 species